UGCAAAUCGUUCGUCUGA
rnacentral:snRNA from 1 species